GAUGAACGCUGGCGGCGUGCCUAAUACAUGCAAGUCGAGCGAACAGACGAGGAGCUUGCUCCUCUGACGUUAGCGGCGGACGGGUGAGUAACACGUGGAUAACCUACCUAUAAGACUGGGAUAACUUCGGGAAACCGGAGCUAAUACCGGAUAAUAUAUUGAACCGCAUGGUUCAAUAGUGAAAGACGGUUUUGCUGUCACUUAUAGAUGGAUCCGCGCCGCAUUAGCUAGUUGGUAAGGUAACGGCUUACCAAGGCAACGAUGCGUAGCCGACCUGAGAGGGUGAUCGGCCACACUGGAACUGAGACACGGUCCAGACUCCUACGGGAGGCAGCAGUAGGGAAUCUUCCGCAAUGGGCGAAAGCCUGACGGAACAACGCCGCGUGAGUGAUGAAGGUCUUCGGAUCGUAAAACUCUGUUACUAGGGAAGAACAAAUGUGUAAGUAACUAUGCACGUCUUGACGGUACCUAAUCAGAAAGCCACGGCUAACUACGUG
rnacentral:rRNA from 1 species